CCUCUUUGAAAAUGUGCAAGUUGCUAAUUGUUUUUGAUUUUAGUGGCAAAAUCCAAAUUCACACUGUUUUGCUGGACAAUUUGGAUAAAUUGUCCCAGUAACCGCUGCAAUAAACAAUAACAUUGUUGUUACGGAGCCAUUUUCAAGUUCUGUGUUUAUAAUGGUGUAAUAAUGCAAGUUUGCCCUCUGAUAGACCAGGAAACUUUUGCAAAAAGCAUUUAGCACUGAAACUGGAAGAUACUUGAAAUGUCCGAAGUAAAACAUGACAAACCAAAAGCAAUAAAUCAAAAUAGAAACAGAAACACACACACACAACUGAAACCGCAAAUAAAAUCUUGUUCUUUAAGAAUCGUUAAUCAGAAAUGAGCUAAUUUAUUAUGUGAUUAAUUCAUUAAUUGCUCACCACGACAGGAAAACGUUCAUUAGAAAUUUUUACAAAACAACAUAAAGGCGUUUAUCGAGGGAUUAUCCAUGUCAAAGAUGUGAACCGGGGCAGUGAUUCUGAAGGCCACCGCAGGCGGACUGAUAACUGGAUCGUAAGGAAGUGAUGCGGCUCAGUGAGUAAAUACCAACCACUGCACAUACAUCAUUAAAGCUGGUCAGGAAUGCCAGCAGAUGCAGUGUCUGUACGAGGUAAGUCAAGGUAAAGUUUCGUUUUCGCUGCUCCUGCUGUCAUAACGCAGCAAAAACAUCAACAUGCUCAGAGCAGCUACCAGACACAGGUGACCUGAAGCUUAUGCAAUCAAAGACACUCUUAAUAGAGUUUUAUCAGUUUCUGAAAUAUGUCAAAAUAUCAUCAGUGGUAAAACUACCCUAUUAACCAAGAGAAGAAAAAAAAGCUGAGAAAAAUAUUCCUAAACAGCUUCAUCCAGAGUGAGUCCACUGCAUCCUAAGCAAAUCAACAUGCUGUGUGUGAUGCUCAGUCUUUUUACAGCAAAGUUAUGCAAGUCAGAAUCCCCCCUUUACUCCCCCCUCACUCCCCCCCACACACACACACAAAUCUAGUGUACAAACCUGCAAAUCUUAAAGAAAGGUAGAACGCACUAAAUAUAGCAGGUCAAUUUCUGUCAGUCCAUGAGGCGGUGAGACACCUGUUCGCUCAGCCUCUCCGUAAAGGCCAGGAGAACCGCCGCUGAACGCUUCCUCUCCGUCAUCAAAGAGGAUUAGGAGCGGUGGAUAGGGCGCUGAGAACGUCCUCAGGUAUGGGGCACUGGCACGGUGAGAUAGGCAGGGCAAAAGGGGACGACGAGACGGCCCCGGCGUAGACGGGUUGGCCGGCUACAGCGGCUGGGCCUUAGAAAGUAAAGAUACGAUUGAACGCACACGCCCCCGCCUCAUCAGAACAGGCAAUCAAACAGCAUGCAAGCCGGGCCUCCUGACCGAGAACUAAUAUUCAGAUUGUCAAACAGGAGUUGGCAAGAGCAGAUUUCUUUGGGGGGGAGGGAGGAAGCGACGGGAAAUGGCUAAUCUUGCAGCCAAAUAUAACUAAAAGUCCAUCUGUUUCCUUAGAUUACCUGCCAGGAUUCAAUUGAGCUGCCUCAUAUCUCCCGUCCCCGAGAGAUAUCCAAGUGGCAACGAGUCAGCGAGUCGCCACGCAGCCGACACGUUCACAAGGAAACCUUCUUCGUGCUCACAAGAAACAUAUGUACAAUAUUCAUUUUUGCAGCCACUUUAUCACACAGUGUAGCAUAGCAGGUAGAGGAAAUUCACAGAGCCUAUGUUCUUGAACAUGCAGAUGAAGAAACAUUUGUCUCUCUGGAUAAAGUAGGGUUCAAAGUCAUAACAUAUUUUUAACAGCAGCAUAAUAUUUUUGGAAUAAUAUUUGAGUUUUACUCAGUGGGUUUAAAAUCUUGAGCUAAAAAACAACAACUUCAUUUUAACAAAAUUACCAGCGUAAUGGAGAAGCACUUUCUGAUCCUCGUAGCUCUAUGUGGAAAUGUAAUCGAUCUCUUUAUGGAACAUUAGUUAGCCCUGAUUACCGACGUUUUUUUUUAGCGAAUCAAAGAAAUCACUUAACAUGAGCACGUCUGACGGCACACAGUGGGCGAGGACCUCAGAACGUAACACAUCACGCACCGAUCGAAAGGAGUUCGACAACUAGACCGGGAGGGACACCAGACAAAACCAGAGCAACUUUCAAAACCCUACAGACCUCACAUCCAUCAGCGAUGCUCAGUACCAAUGAUUGUCAAACGAAAGAAACAAACCGAGGACAAAAAGCCACUGGAAACGUCUCCAAGAUUUUCAGGAAAUAUUUCACGGUGUUAGAACCCAACCGGGGAACAAAGGCACUAAAAAUCCCAGAUUGCACUGCAUUAGCCUGCUUUCAGUUCCAAAACAUGCUUUGUGGGAUAUGAAACAUUCGAUUGUGACCAAAAGUGAAAAUAAGAAUAAGAUGGCAAAUACUUUUUCUUUCCACUGCAUCAUAUUCAUACUGUAUGACACACCAGACCCAGUUGGAGGCUUAGCUGUCACUGGUUUUACUUGCAUUCUGCCGCAAACACACAGCCAAGGCAGCCCCAGUUCUGAAUCCCUUUCUCCUCUCACAUCAUACAAGUCAAUCUGCUGCGCUAAGCUGCGUGGAGCAGGGGCGGGACAAACGCCACGCAUUUGCCUCUGUGAUAUGCUAGCUUGUCAGGGAUUUUCUUGCUGUGUGGUUGAGGUCUGCAUCGCGGCCCCCAGCGCAGGCUCUCCAAACGCACGUGGUGCUCUACAAGCGAAAGCCGUCGUGCAUCGUGUUCAGCGUGGCAUUAUCUGCAUCGAAUUCUGCUGAUGAAAGUAUUUGUUAGAUCAAACUCACACCGGGGGAUUAUGCGGUGGCCCUGUACCGUCCACACCCACACACUGCUGCUGCUGCUGUCUUUGCUUCGUGUCGUAUCACUUUGCUCCCCUAUCCCAUAUUUGCAACUUCCAAUUGUUUUGUCUAAGGGAUUCAUUGUUUUUUUUUUCUUAGAUGGUAGAAACUUUAUAUCUACUGACUGUUUGUGUUUGUUGUUUAUUGGGUCUGAAGAAUUGGGGCGUUUAUACGGGUUAUAUGGAGGACUGUCCCCGGUAGGGUUGCAAAUUUUCACCCACCACAACAGAAUUUGAUUCACAACAAGGAGAUCAGAUUACUACAUUAAGCAUUCAUCUUAGAUUGUUUCACAGCAAUGUUUAAAGUUGAUGUUUAAAAUCUGUGACUGGACAACAAUUGUUGGCAAAGUCUUCAAUUGAAUCUGUAUCUCUCACCAGAAAUCUUAACAUUUGAAUACAUUUCCCAGGCUGUAUGUCCCUGUUGUCUUUAAUAAUUGUGCUUGUCCCAUCAGCUGGCUGCUUCUCCUGUCAGCCUAAGCUAUUCUUCCGGACGCAGACGCAUUUUCAUCAGAUCCGUCAUCAGCACUUUCUUGGCGGUUGACAAUGUCCUGUCUUUGAGACUCCCGUAAAACGCCUCUGCAGAUUCUCUGGGAACAUUUCAGAGGCUCAGACGUGCUUCAGCUCAGGUCCGCUGCCUUUUUCUGCGCAUCAAUCUGGCCGGGUGAAUCCCAGUCGUUUCCUUCUCUUCAUCCAUGCCAGAGACACAGAAACAUCAGAGCCGCUUGGCCCACACCAGCACUGUCCGACCAGCGUUUUCUUGCAGAUCAUGUGAUCCCACGGCGGCCAUUGUAGGUGAAAAAGAAAAGAGGAGGCAAUUUCAGAGUUUCACAAAAACUCACAAAUUUUGAGAUUAAUCUCAGACAUUUUCUAGAAGAAGCGAGGCCGUGUCUUUGCUUGAAAGGUUGACCUUUGGAAAUUUUCAGAGUUUGAAAGUUUGGCCAAAAGAUGUCGGUAAUUUUCUAGAAAAAAAAACAAAACACAGAAGGACAUUUUUAAGUUUGAAGAGUUGAAAGCUUGACAAAGAAUGUCUAUGUUUUUCUAGUAAAUUUGAAACUUUUCAAACUCAGAAAUGUCCUUUAUUUUUCAUAGAAAAUUCAGAGAAUUUUAAAUUUGCUCCUUCUUUUUUUCCCCUUAGCUUCAGUGGCCUUGAUAUCCCACCGCAUGAUCCAACUCUUGGUUUCCUUCAAAACAAUUACAGAGCAGGUCUGUGAUGAAACAGAAUAGGGUUCAUAUCGCGCCGUGGAUUACAAAAGAUCGACUGUAGCUGCUGAGAUGCUGUCCAGAAAUUGAAAUAAGAAAACAUCUUGAAUAGCAUAUAUAGCAGUUAAAAGUGUCCUAUUACAAGUAUUUGCAUACUUUUGAUUACAAGUCUCUGUCUCUGUCAUAGAUGUUUCUGGUGAACCAGUACAAUCAGUAAUGUUCUUCAGACUGAACACGAAAACAAAACCUCACAAGUUGAAGAAAAUCUCGUAACCGUUUGUAGUAUUACAAAAACACGUUUUCUUACUAAUAUUCUGCUUUUAUAAACAUUCUCUCUAACGCUCCUCAGUCCGAUGCUGAACCAGACACACGUGCUGGAACGGUUCCAGGUAGAAGCAAAGGGUGGACUGUUCUAAAAAUGUCUCACACUGAGGGUUAUAAUAGCCCAGGCGUAGCUAACAAUAGAGGGGUAUUUGAUACCUGGGCUAUUGUCGACCCGUCUCACUCCAUUCCUUUUUUAACCAAUUCAUCCCUACAGGCAGGGCCAAACGGUUGCCAAGAGCGCCAGCUACAGAAGGGGGCGCUGCUGGGAAAACUCAAAGAAGCAGAAGAAGAAAACAGCGUGGAUUAGCUAUUAGAGUGAAGGUACAUCUUUUUUCUUGUUCUCUGUAGUGAAAAUAAAAGAUUUUUUGGGGUUUUUUUAGGUUUCCCUUUGAGGAAUUAGCGGCUCCCACGUGUACUUUAUCCCACCACAUCCUGGCUACGCACAGUUCAAAGGUCAGCACAGUCAUCAAACGGACAGAUGCGUAGCUGCCACACACUAUAUGACUUCAGUUAAGUUGGACUUGACGACUCCAAACAUUUGUCUGAUGGCGGAGCAGAGCUGUUUAACUUCGCUUUCUGUACAAUCCCUAAUGAAAGGAUUUUCUCGCCUCUCUGUGCAGAUUUAAAGCCAACCACACAAACAACCAUCCAAGCAGCUGGGCCCCUGAGGAUAAGGUGAACGGCUCCUGCUGUCCGUCAACUCCAGCACUCCCAACUUCUUGUCAAGUUUUUGCAUCUUCACUGAAAAUAAACUUGUUACGUGUCGGUCCCCUAAAAAAUCACAGGUGGCAGCUGGCGUCUGUUGCCUAGGUUUUCUGGACGAGUGCGUCCCCACAGGUUUUCUGCCUUUUCCGGAUGCCUGGCAGUGUAUUGGCUGCAGCAGGAAGCUGAGUGUGUCCGCUAUUAAUAGUCGCAAUGGAAGCGUGAGAUUUCUAUGAAUGGAGCAAGCAUGAGACAACGUAGCCUGAUCAAGAAGCCGCGUGUUUCCCGCCUUCACCGCCUGCCUCUCACACCAGGCGGGCUGGCUCUUAUAAACUCCACCUCUAUGUUUUGCCAAGGGCAUUUCCAACUCCACAGCCAGAGGGAAGGAAAGGAAGGAAGGAAAAAAAGAAGAAAACCUUCCCAGCUUUAUUGGAGGGAUGAAACCCGGACAGCCAAUGAAGCCACAUGCUGACGAAUGCAGAUGUUAUUUAAAAUAAAACCAGAGGAGACAAUGGAAGCUGCUGAAGUGCGGCUGUGUCAAUGGGAUUUUGAGGCGGUCGUAUCGGCAGCGAGAGCAGAUAGGAUCAAAGACGUCAGUGUCUCUCCUCUCAUUUGUUCUCUGAUGUCCUGUCCUCCUUUUCCUCUCCUCUCUGCUCCUCUCCUGUCCCUCCUCACUUCUUCUCUUUUCCCAACCUGAACUCUGCGGUACCCGUCGCUCCAGAUGUCAGGCCAUUCGAUAACGAAAUUGAAAGGACCAUCAACUAUUAUGUCUUGAAUUUUAGUGUGUUUUAGUCAGCAUUAUAGAUGCAUGCU